CGCGUUAGUCCUGCUCAAUCGGGGAGCAGAGUUGCCAUGGAAACGGGGCGUCAACACAAAAACCGUUACUGGCAAGCAGUAAUCUCCGUCUCUCGCUGCAGUUUACACUGUUUUGGAAACGGUUUAGUUUCUUCGAAAAAGUCCGUUAGCAUCUUAGCAGUUUUCAGGAGGACAGAAAGAAACUCUACAGAACAGAAGUGAAGCUCCAAGAUUUCAACAUUUCUGAAGGGAGAUUCUGACUUAGAAAUACAGGUGACCUGAAGAAGCUCAUGAAAAACAUGAAUAUGCCUUUUUCAGAAUACAUUUCACCAAUUUUAAGAAGUCCCUGACAUCAUAACCUUGUUUCCUUCUAAUGAACCUGGAACUGCAGAGUAAAUAUUGUUGACUCUGUGUCAGAUUGCUUGUUUUGUUCCUGGAUUCUUCAGUGAUGACGAUCAGAGUCUGAGUGAACCUGCUGUCAGACAGGUUGGCCUGAUUGACGAUGCCAUCAUCCAUCGCCGAUAGCUGAUAGACAUCACGAUGCUGCGCUGGCAAACAGCGUCAUCAGCUCCAGUAUCUCGCGCGUGCAUCUGUUGUCAUGCGACAGAGAAGUCACGUUCUAUAGACAGUUUCUAUGGACAGUUGUGAACGUGCUGACAGCUGGUUGCCCAGGCUAUGGAUUAAAGGUAAUACUGUUGGCCAGCAGAGCCCUGCUCACCCUGUCAGCCCACCGCUGCUGUCAGACAACAUCUCCAAGAUGCUAUAAACUGCAGGACCAGAUGGCCAUCCCAAGGUUUCUAGAGAUUACACCAGCUCCAGACUGAAUCCAAACUUACUUGUGAAGACUUCAGAUGACACCAACGCUCACAAAGACUACAGACGACAACUGUGCAUGAACACACAAAACAUUGGACACACAAAACAAAUAUUAUCCUUAUUUUGCCUAUAAGGGUAAAUUUGAUGAUUUUCAAACUGCUUUAUUGUAACGUCUCUUAUAUCUGUAAAUGAACAAUAUUUACUCUCUGAGUUAUGUGGACCUACAUGUCCCCUUUUAUUUGUAAGCAUCACUUUAAAAAUGUUGAAAGAUAAUGUUAAUGUUAACUGAAUACAAAACUAGAGACUUGUUUAGUAAGAUUUUAUCAGAAAAUAUUUUUGAACUUUUAUCAUGCAAUUUAAAACGUUUUAAUUGCUUAAUUAGUAUUGUUUGCCUGGUUUUAUUUUGUGUUUAUGUAACUCUUUUUAAAAAGUUCUUGGCAUAAAGUUCGCAUGCGAUGCUGACAGCACUGAACACAUGACUUUUUAUUAUGAACUAGAUGGUCUUCUCAGUGAGUCUCAGUCAUCUCUGGCUUUUUAAACUGUAACCUUGAAACAUGCAUUUCCUGUAAACCUACUUUGAAAUAAGUAUUGUCAAAAGGUGCUAUACUCAUACAACAUUUAACCAUGCAAGGACUGUAGUAAUGGUUAUUUUUGUUUUUACUAUGGGUUUACUGCAAAAGCUGUAGUAAAAUCAUGGUGAUUGUAGUAAAACUAUGGUUGAUUUAGUUUUUUCUAUGGUUUUACUGCAAAAGCUGUAGUAAAAUCAUGGUUAAUUUUCAAAAGACUACAAAUAAUCCCGAAUUAUCCACUUUUGAUCAAAGCAUCUGGUAAAUGUUAAUGUAUUUGUACAUGUAAUAUGAAAUAAAUGAAAAUAUUAAUAAAGUUGCAUCUGUUCUUGA